rnacentral:rRNA from 1 species
GUCCACGCUGUAAACGAUGCAUACUAGGCGUAGUAGGAUUCAACCCUUACUGUGUCGGAGCUAACGCGUUAAGUAUGCCGCCUGGGAAGUACGCUCGCAAGGGUGAAACUCAAAAGAAUUGACGGGGGCCCCGCACAAGCAGUGGAGCAUGUGGUUUAAUUCGAUGCAACGCGAAGAACCUUACCCAGGCUCGAAGUGUAGAGGACAAUACCCGAAAGGGUAUCUCCCGCAAGGGUCUCUAUAUAGGUGCUGCAUGGCUGUCGU